CGGGGUGGCGGUGGGCAGGGUAUUAGAAUGGUACUGGUGGAGAUAAGUCUCAGCCUUUUCUAAUAGCUGGCCCAUGCCUUUCUCUUGAUCCAGCUUUCCGUACUUAGAGGCAGCUUCAAGAAGAUCUUCUGCAGCACCAGCAACUUUGGCCCUGUCUAUUUUGUCUCCUUCGCUGCCGAACGAGGAUUGAGCUGCCCCAGCCACUAGCUUGGCACUUGAGAGAAGCUCAGACGUAGUGGGUUGACGGUCAUGCCCAGUUCGUUUGUCCUUGGGAAGUAAAUCCAUGGAUAUUGUCGCAAUUAGCU
rnacentral:lncRNA from 1 species